rnacentral:rRNA from 1 species
UACAGAGGGUGCAAGCGUUAAUCGGAAUUACUGGGCGUAAAGCGUGCGUAGACGGUUACAUAAGUCGGGUGUGAAAGCCCCGGGCUCAACCUGGGAAUUGCAUUCGAGACUGCGUAGCUAGGGUGCGGAAGAGGGAAGCGGAAUUUCCGGUGUAGCGGUGAAAUGCGUAGAUAUCGGGAGGAACACCGGUGGCGAAGGCGGUUCUCUGGGCCUGUGCUGACGCUGAGGAGCGAAAGCGUGGGGAGCGAACAGG